rnacentral:rRNA from 1 species
AACCAGACUCCUACGGGAGGCAGCAGUGGGGAAUAUUGGACAAUGGGGGGAACCCUGAUCCAGCGACGCCGCGUGAGUGAAGAAGUAUUUCGGUAUGUAAAGCUCUAUCAGCAGGGAAGAAAGAAAUGACGGUACCUGACUAAGAAGCCCCGGCUAACUACGUGCCAGCAGCCGCGGUAAUACGUAGGGGGCAAGCGUUAUCCGGAUUUACUGGGUGUAAAGGGAGCGUAGACGGCAGCGCAAGUCUGAAGUGAAAUGCCGGGGCUUAACCCCGGAACUGCUUUGGAAACUGAGCAGCUAGAGUGCAGGAGAGGUAAGUGGAAUUCCUAGUGUAGCGGUGAAAUGCGUAGAUAUUAGGGGGAACACCAGUGGCGAAGGCGGCUUACUGGACGAUGACUGACGCUGAGGCUCGAAAGCGUGGGGAGCAAACAGGAUUAGAUACCCUCGUAAUG